rnacentral:tRNA from 1 species
CGGGGUGUAGCGCAGUCUGGUAGCGCAUUCGCUUUGGGAGCGAAGGGUCGGAGGUUCGAAUCCUCUCACCCCGACCA